rnacentral:rRNA from 1 species
GUUUGAUCAUGGCUCAGGACGAACGCUGGCGGCGCGCCUAAUACAUGCAAGUCGAGCGAGAACCAGGGCUUGCCCUGGGGAGAGCGGCGAACGGGUGCGUAUCACGUGAGCAACCUGCCUCGGAGACCGGAAUAACUCGAGGAAACUCGGGCUAAUGCCGGAUGCCCUCGUUGGACCGCAUGGUCCGGCGAGGAAAUGGAUUCCGCUCCGAGAUGGGCUCGCGGCCUAUCAGCUUGUUGGUGGGGUAACGGCCUACCAAGGCAACGACGGGUAGCUGGUCUGAGAGGACGAUCAGCCACACUGGGACUGAGACACGGCCCAGACUCCUACGGGAGGCAGCAGUGGGGAAUCUUGCGCAAUGGGCGAAAGCCUGACGCAGCGACGCCGCGUGAGGGAAGAAGGCUUUCGGGUUGUAAACCUCUUUCAGGAGGGACGAAGCUACUCGGGUUAAUAGCCCAGAGGGUGACGGUACCUCCAGAAGAAGCCCCGGCUAACUACGUGCCAGCAGCCGCGGUAAUAA